rnacentral:rRNA from 1 species
UACGUAGGUGGCAAGCGUUGUCCGGAAUUAUUGGGCGUAAAGCGCGCGCAGGCGGCUUCUUAAGUCUGAUGUGAAAUCUCGGGGCUCAACCCCGAGCGGCCAUUGGAAACUGGGAAGCUUGGAGUACAGGAAGAGGAGAGUGGAAUUCCACGUGUAGCGGUGAAAUGCGUAGAUAUGUGGAGAACACCAGUGGCGAAGGCGACUCUCUGGUCUGUAACUG